UUUUAGAUGACCAACUACUUCCAUUAGAAAGCACUUUCUGUACUUUCUGCACUUUCUGUAAAGAGGCCUAUAUUUAACUUCUGGCAAUUCAUGUACUGCCCUACACCUGAAUUCUGAGUUCCCUCCAAGAGCAAGGAUUUACAUGCUACUGCAGGACCACCACCAGCUUCUCACCUACAGCUCUGCUUGCAUUACACCU